AGUGAACGCUGGCGGUAGGCCUAACACAUGCAAGUCGAACGGCAGCACAGUAAGAGCUUGCUCUUACGGGUGGCGAGUGGCGGACGGGUGAGGAAUACAUCGGAAUCUACUUUUUCGUGGGGGGUAACGUAGGGAAACUUACGCUAAUACCGCAUACGACCUACGGGUGAAAGCAGGGGAUCUUCGGACCUUGCGCGAUUGAAUGAGCCGAUGUCGGAUUAGCUAGUUGGCGGGGUAAAGGCCCACCAAGGCGACGAUGCGUAGCUGGUCUGAGAGGAUGAUCAGCCACACUGGAACUGAGACACGGUCCAGACUCCUACGGGAGGCAGCAGUGGGGAAUAUUGGACAAUGGGCGCAAGCCUGAUCCAGCCAUACCGCGUGGGUGAAGAAGGCCUUCGGGUUGUAAAGCCCUUUUGUUGGGAAAGAAAAGCAGCAGGUUAAUACCCCGCUGUUCUGACGGUACCCAAAGAAUAAGCACCGGCUAACUUCGUG
rnacentral:rRNA from 1 species